UACCAGCACCCCGAGUGGUCGGGACGAUUAUUGGGCCUAAAGCAUCCGUAGCCGGUCAUGCAAGUCUUCCGUUAAAUCCAGCCGCUCAACGGUUGGGCUGCGGAGGAUACUACGUGGCUAGGAGGCGGGAGAGGCAAGCGGUACUCAGUGGGUAGGGGUAAAAUCCUUUGAUCCAUUGAAGACCACCAGUGGCGAAGGCGGCUCACUGGACCGGUAUUGACGCUGAGGUGCGAAAGCGUGGGGAGCAAACAGG
rnacentral:rRNA from 1 species